AGACCAUCAGAGCCGUGAGCGCAGAACCUUUCCAGAACCUGACCCUUACCUCGACUCUGCCCUUUCACCUGGACCUGCAUGCCUGUGAUGAAUCCCAAGGCGCCACCAGCAUUUCUGUAACACAGAUGCACCAGUAAGGAGCUGGAAAACGUUGCUGGAGAGAGGGACGUCUGGAAUACCCUUCUUAGCCUGCUGACCCGGCCCUGGAUAAAUGGAAGAAGAUGGAUUGAUGGAUGGAUGGACCUCUCCACUACUUGUUUUGAUUAUAAACCUAUAUAUUUAUUUCUAUUUUCAUUGUACUUCACAGUUGGUGGGUUAUCUUACUAUGUAUAAAAAUGUGGCACAUGAAUAAAUACGGGUGAAUAAAGUUCUGCCUCUUAUUAAUUCAAUCUCAUUUAGUAGCUGUUCUGGAGCUUUUGCUUGUA